rnacentral:lncRNA from 1 species
UUAACACCCAAAAGCACUUAUGGGGAGUUCAGUUCUCAGAAGGGCAGCUGGGAAGCGUGCUGUAGGCGAUGCGCCUCUGAUGUGAGGAGGAGCCAGCCGGAACAGUCCUAUGCAAGGGCACUGUUGGGGGUGGUGGUCUUCUGCAGCAAACGUCCUGGGGCCACAGUCUGCACUGGCGGAGUGAAAGGGGAUUCCAGGCCACCCUGUGAAAUCACCGUGCGCGGGCAGACAGAAGUCUUGGUGAGGGGCUGGUGUGGAGCAGGAUGCCGCGGGAAUGCCACCAUCGGAUGCGUCAGGGUGGGAAGAAACAAAGGCUGACAACUGCAGCACCAGAUAUGAUGUCCAGAGCUGCAGCAGCCAUCCUGAAACUAUGUGGCACCAGGCUAACACUGAGGAUGGUGGGCAGAGAGAUGGAAAAACUUGGGUCCUUGGUGACCUCAUCAAGCUGCUAAAUCACCUGAAGCUGCCUAUGCCCAGGAUCCUUGGUGGCUGCCUUCUCCCUCUGUCUUCACGUGGUCUUCCCAUGUGUGCCUGCGUCCUCAUCUCCUUUUCUUGUCUCCCACCUCCACCAGUCACACUGGAUCAGGGCACACCCAUGUGACCGCAGGAAGAAAAAAGAGAGGGAGUAAGUGGACCACCCACCCCAUCCACGAGGAGGGGCCCCACAUUGUCCUCUCCAUGGAGGAGUGGUGGCCAGGGCCCUGCAGCUGACCAGCCCUGGGGUUUAGGAGUUCUGGGCUUGGGCUGGGGCCAGGGCUCAGCUCGGCCCCCUCCUCAACCUGGGCCUUCAGGGGGUGUAAGGCACACACGAUCACCCCACAUUACAAAGGGGAGACUGAGGCCAUGCUAUCCUUCUCCCCAUCCUCAGGCUUCACUUAAAAACCCAGCUUUACUGAGGUAGUUGGC